UAUCAUGAUGAACGACAUAAUGCGUGAACAAUCUCUGAAUAAAUUUCAAAUGCGAAGUUUAAAGGAUUAAAAAACCUAUGUUGCCUUCCUUCUGACA
rnacentral:snoRNA from 1 species